rnacentral:rRNA from 1 species
GAGUGGCGAACGGGUGAGUAACACGUGGGUGACCUGCCCUGUACUUCGGGAUAAGCCUGGGAAACUGGGUCUAAUACCGGAUAUGACCUUCUCCUGCAUGGGGGUUGGUGGAAAGUUUUUGCGGUACAGGAUGGGCCCGCGGCCUAUCAGCUUGUUGGUGGGGUAAUGGCCUACCAAGGCGACGACGGGUAGCCGGCCUGAGAGGGCGACCGGCCACACUGGGACUGAGACACGGCCCAGACUCCUACGGGAGGCAGCAGUGGGGAAUAUUGCACAAUGGGCGAAAGCCUGAUGCAGCGACGCCGCGUGAGGGAUGACGGCCUUCGGGUUGUAAACCUCUUUCAGUAGGGACGAAGCGCAAGUGACGGUACCUACAGAAGAAGCACCGGCCAACUACGUGCCAGCAGCCGCGGUAAUACGUAGGGUGCGAGCGUUGUCCGGAUUUACUGGGCGUAAAGAGCUCGUAGGCGGUUUGUCACGUCGUCUGUGAAAACCCGAGGCUUAACCUCGGGCCUGCAGGCGAUACGGGCAGACUUGAGUACUGUAGGGGAGACUGGAAUUCCUGGUGUAGCGGUGGAAUGCGCAGAUAUCAGGAGGAACACCGGUGGCGAAGGCGGGUCUCUGGGCAGUAACUGACGCUGAGGAGCGAAAGCGUGGGUAGCGAACAGGAUUAGAUACCCUGGUAGUCCACGCCGUAAACGGUG